GUCCAGUUGUCCGACAAUCACGGACUGAACGGCCAAUCAGUGAGCUCAGAGGCGGGACAGCUAACAGGAAAACGAUGGGAAGUGGGCAUUUCUGUGAUUCUUGGCUGAUCCUGCAGAUGUGCAUCCCCCAACCAUUACUUACACUAGAGAAUAUGAAUGGAGUGUCCUCAUGAUGUGGGAAUCACAAGAUGAGCCGACUCUACCAUCUCAAGUCUUCAAUGAAAGCUUAGGAAACCUUCAGCAAAUUGCCACUUUAGGUUUGUCUGAUAACAACCAUUGCGGAAAGCUUCAAAAGAAGUCAUUACAUUUUUACUGUAUUGCUGAGAAUGGCGUUUUGUUAACAAAAAAAGAAAUACUCCACAAGGAGCAAAAAAUGUAUUACAUUUUUUGGGGUCACUUAUUUAUUUUAACCCUUAUUAAAUGUAUCUCAAAACAAUUUUAUUGUAUGUCUUUCCAUAUAAUAAAUAUUCCACAUUCUGUUUUGGAAA